GGAAUUCCGCUAGUUCUGAACUAUUUACACUUGAAAAAAGUUCACUACUAGCAGAACUCGG
rnacentral:pre_miRNA from 1 species